rnacentral:lncRNA from 1 species
AAUGGACAAUAAUCCUUCAUUGAAGCUUAUUAUAAGUCAGUGGAAUCAUGACCCUGAACGAGUCCCCAAAACAUUAAACAUAAACACCUGUGUGAUGCCUACCAAGCCUGUACAACAAGACCAGCAGGGAUACCUAAACGUCACAUACUUAACAUGGUCAAUGCAGAUCAAAGUCCAUUAGCAAUAGCUAACCAUUCAUCUUACCCAAUGCAGCAAGCCAAAGCAUAAUGACAAAUAGUCCAAGCAACCAUGCAAACUCAGUCCCUACAUCAGCCUAGCAAAUAACCAUUUAACUGUUAACACAGGCAUCCUGCAGACCUGAAGAAACAGAAAAAUGGACAGCAAAACAUCAUAAACCAAAAUGAAACCUAUAGAGAAGACAUGGAAAAGAUGUUGAACCAUAUGGCAAUGUUGAAAAUCGAGCACAAUUCAGAGGGCAUACCAUAACCACAUGCUGAAGAAAUCAAUCAGGAAAUGGACAUUGAACAUGCUGCAAAACCAGUGCACCAUAAGUCAACAGGUUGUUGUGUAAAGAUCCAUUUGGUUAAGCUAACAAUGCUCAAGGAUUUUCUAACCUGCAAUGAGGCCUUUAAACCAAGCUGAAAGUCUUGUUGCAACACACCAAGUCACAAGGCAAACUUCAGGUAAGCAUUAUGGAAGCCAAAACUUAU